GCUCCCAUGGCGUAUUGGUCACUGCGCUCGCCUUGCACGCGGGAGACCCGGGUUCGAUUCCCGGCGGGGUCA
rnacentral:tRNA from 1 species